UCCAAGAGAAACCCUAGACGUGAGACCGGGUCGAUGAUUUCCUUCGACAUCUCCGCUGCUGAGCGGAUCGUCAAUCUCUUCGAUGAAUUUGUAGUCCUAGAUUUCAGAGAAGGUCGGAGGUGGUGAUGAUGACGGCGUUCGUUCAUCAAUAGAAGAAGAAGGUACAUGCUUACGAUUAGGCACCAGACAAGAAUGGUGGGGUCAUUCUCAUUUUCAAAGGGAUCAUAGAGAGUAUUCCUGAAGUUUACGCUCUGUUAAAUGAGUUCUCGGGCUCCUUGUGCAUGGUGUAGUUGCUGUUAAGGUUUCUACUCUGCUCUUACCUUAGUCAUAUGAUUUAUUUGGAUUUCUUCCUCCAUUCAUUAAAAAUCAGCUACUUCUCCAUCCCCAGUCAGCUAUCCCAGAUUGAAACAUAAAAAGAAGAAAGGACCUGUGGGAAUAAUGUAAGAGAUGACGAUUCCCGCAUCAAGUGGCACUUUAGAAGUUAUAGAAAGCAACAAAAGUGAAUCAGUGCCAAAUUCUUUAACCGCUCAGGGAGCAAUGGAGGAUGAUUUGAUUCGUAUAUUGACUCGAGACGCUCCAUUGAUAUUAUGAGAGACGUUCAUGCUGCCAAAGAACAGAAGAGACUUUAUGUGACCGUGUUUGUUGCAGUGAGCAGAGGUUGGGAAAUCCACUAAUGUGACCAAAGUGGCGUAUUGGUCCAGCAGCAUAAGGUCAACGUAGUGAUUGCUGCUUGUGACACAUUUCGUUUUGGAGCAGCUGAGCAGUUAAGGACGCAUGCUCUUUAGGUUUGAGCAGUUAAGGACGCACGCUCUUUAGGUUUGAGGUCUGGCAUCAUCAAGUCAUCAUGAUUAAUGAAUAUUGGUGUGAAAUACUGAUUUUAAUUGACUGGUGGAAUUUUGGCAACAAAUACCGAUACUUGAGAAGGAUUGUGAAAAGGAUCCAGGGGUAGUUGCUAAGGAAGACACACAGGAACCAACUCGAAAUGGAUCUACAUAUCAAUGAAGUCUACACUAAUUCAUUGUUCCAAUCCUUUUACUUAACGUAGAAUCUUUUGCAAUUAUUUUAUUUGUGAAAUAUGAGAUAAAAAUUUGUCAAUAGUAUAAAAAUAAAAUAGUUGCUACUACUAUACACACUAUAGUCUAAAUGUUAUACUUAUUAUAUGUUUAUGGUUUGUUUUAUUAGUUUGUUGGAACACUCGAUAAACUUUAGGAUGUUGCAGAUAGAAUGCAUUAUUUAUUGAGUUGCAUCUAGCUAAAAUGUUAUUUAUGGUCGUAUGAACAACUGUUAUCUACUGAACAAUGAUAUGACAUUGUUAACUCCAAUUACUUGGCGCAAUGUUAUAUAUUUACAUGUAAAUUUAAGUAGAGUUUGGUAGAUGUUCAAACAUUAAUACAUAGAAUGUGUUUCUUUACUUUCUCGCAAUCAGAAUUUGAAAGUACAAAAAGACUGCAAAACAUGAUCUGGAAGAGGUUUUCUUAACCAACGUGUGAAUUGAGUUUUAUAUGAUUGUUAUUAUGAUGUUCUAAUGUGACAGCUCUUGAUGAAUGAACCUGUCAGAGGAAUCAAGAUACUUAGCCAACAGAGGACGUAGAUGAGGAAAUGUUAUAUUGGCUUUGGCUCUUCCAUUGAAAUGAACAACAGCUGCACUUUCUGCAUCAGAAAAGGUUGUUUUCUCUUGGUACCCGAGACCAAGCAUAUGCCAGAACGGAUCUAUUGUACAUGGCCGUGGAAAGCUAUCAAUCCUGGAGGCAAAGUUCCCAGCUCCCACAAACUCAGCUAUUAGGGAAAUCGAGUUGCUGAAGGAUUUGCUGUCCAGAGGUGUUCCUGUUGAUUCUCAAAGCGAGUCUUUGCUUGCAAUUGAUUUGGGCUGCCGGCCAUUACACAGUUCCGAUCUUAAUGGUGAGACCGAAGAUAAUGUCACGCCACUGUUAUUAGCAGUGGUGACUGGUUAUGUGGCAUGCUUAGAACUGUUGGUCAAGGUCAGAGAUAUUCUUAGCAUGUACUCAUAAAAUCAAUUAUUAGUUCA